AAUGUCUGCAGCUGAGCAGGGGGAGCGUCAACAGCACAGGAUAGUCUCCUACAGGAGUUACUGGGUCUUCUUGGGAGGAAAAGGGACAGACCUGCUGAAUCAGAAAGGCAGGAUUUUGGCCAAGUUUGUACUGAAUAUCAGGAUGUGGACAAAAGGAGAAGCUUUGGUCCUGCUUCUGCAUUGCAAAUUAAAGCAGGCACACUUGAAAGUGUAGGAUAUAAUUUGCUUGUAGAAGUAUAUGGAAUCAUGAAGACUUCACAAAAGUGGCUGUUUCAUACUUCCAGAAGUGUGCACUACUCUCUGAAAUGGCAUCCAUUGAACAAAACUUUCAAAACUUUAACAUACAGAUGCGUAUUCUGAGAUUUCCCCCCCCCAUAAUUUCCUCUAUUAUGGAUACAGAAAGAUCUGGGAGAAGAUGUCUCACCAUUUAAAAUAGAUCUAGGUGGUUCUCAAGUUUAAGGAAGCUACAGCAAAAUGAAAAUCCUAUUGAUCCAAUACAGUCAAAAAUGUUCUGAAGUUCCCCAGCAGGUUUGCUAACUGUAGGAACACUAUGUCUUGUUGAUUAAACAGAAUGACUUAUUCAAACUGGAAAAUCUUCGUGGGUCAGGUAAAUUUCUGGACUUAUUUUUGAAGAGAAAUAGAGAACAAACUGUGCUUUAAAACAAUAGUAGCCUGAAAAAUCAUAAUUUGUCAGUGUGUUAUCGCUAACGGAAUUGAUUGUAUUCUUAAAACAAAACAAAACAAAAACAACCAAACAAAACCACUAGAGUGAUGAUGAUGAUGAUGAUAAUGAUUUUUUAAUCUGGGAAAAUGUAUUGUUUCUGACAAAAUAUCCUUAAAUUAAAACAAAGUUUGAUGGUCUCCAUUUCAACUUGAUCACAAUAUUUUGUUGUUUUUAUGUCAAAAUAUUUUGUCAUAAAAUUAUAUAAUAUACUGUAAAUUACAAUACAAGUAAUAAGCUUUGACACAAUCUCUUUUGAUUUGACCUGAAACAGUUUUUCUGGGGACGGGAGAAAAAUGUGCACCACUCUGGAGAGUGAAUACAUGAUGGGCAACAUCGAAAUAUGCUCUUUAAAACCACAAACCUUUCAGCUGCUGGCAGUAGUUCACUCCUGAUAAAUACAAGAUGACUCCAUUGCACCGUGAGUGCAAUCAUGCUGUGAGACUGCAGAGCCAGCUUUGAAUUGCAGAACACUUGAAUUUGAGUGAGACAUUUGUUGAUGAGAUGUGAUGAGACAGAACUGUAUUAUUUUUCUUGCAAGCCUUAUGUACCAUCUGAAAUCUGUAUCGUUAUUGCAAACUUACCUCAGGUUAAACCGCUCUCUACUUUCACUGUAAAUUUACAUAUGAAGAUAACAGAAGUUGUAAGGAAGAGAAAGAAAAGGGAUUUCUGGUAAACUACAGACUUGAAGCAUUUUGUGCUGACUUCAGAACAAAAGUCCAAACUUCAGCAUCUUUCUAGACCGUUAAGCCUUUUGAACAUCUUUCAUCUUAAUUACCCAUCCAUCUCAGCAAUCAGCCUAUUGUUACUGAGGAAAUACCCCUUGAGAAGAAUAUUAGGAAAUCCAUUUCAGUGAUUAUUUUAUAAGGAAUAAUGACCACUUUGUUUCAUUAGUGGCUUUCUGGUUCUAAUCAGACAUUUAUUUUUCACAUUCACCAAACAAGGAUGUGCAGCAUAUGUUAAGGGAAAUGUGUGUGUACCAUAUGGCUGAGAAGAAUAAAUUCUGUAUAAAAUAGGAAGGGUGAAUGAGGAAGAGUAAGGUAAUAAAAUAAAUAAUGAAUUCAGCCACAUUAUAUGAUUUUAUUGUUAUGGGGAUGCAAAAACUAGAGUACCAUGGAUUUUAAACCCAGGGGACUGAGUUUUACUUCUAGUAUUCUAAGCGGUGCUUUCUUUUCCCACCCCCUGAUCAGAUGACUCUAUAGUCAUGAAAUGACGAAGACUGUAGGCUUAAUUCUUGUAUGUAGCUUUCCUGGCUAACUCCAGCUUCAGCAGAGGUACAGCCCAUUAAGCCUAGACACCUGAAACUGGGAUCACCCCUGAAAAAGUCCUAUGAUGUGUCAGUAUUGAGCAUUAUCAAACCAUGCCACAAAUUCAAUUAAGCCAUUGUGAUGCCAAAACCUGUGGUCCUGGCAAAAUGUAUCAUGCAGCAUAUCUAGAAACUUAUCCCCUGACCAAAAAUCUGCACUGUGUUUCUCAAAAUGUAGUUACUAAGAGGAGAUCUACCUGCUUGGAACCACUGGUUUGCAGAGUUUCUGAGCUCACUGAGACCCUGUUGUGAGAGGCGCUAGACAGCAACGCAACACUGGCCAUACUUAUUCAAAAGGAUUAAGCUUAAGCCUGUUGCUGAGUACUCAGAGGUGCCAGAGGCUAGGUUUGGGUAGACAACGGAAAGCAGCAGUCUCUGUCCAACCUACCCAGUGGGAGAGACCUCAGCUGUCCGGAAUGGAAGCUGCAGGUCUUUUGUAAUGUUUUAUACCACUUUGCUGAUCUGACCUAGAGCACAGCCAUAUAAACAGUUACAUUGGCACAACUGAGCAGGAAAUAAAUUGGAGAUGAGGUUGAGAGAGUCAGUGGAUGAAAUCAAGAAAAAAUAGGAGCAUCUUUUUCUCAUUUUGCUGCCAAAUAAAUCAUAAUCUGGGACCAAGCAUUUGCUUUGUGUAGAUUUAGCUUUCUGUCCCAGGUUUAUGCACAUCUCAAAAUACCAUGCAGGCAGAACCUGAGAAGAAAAGCAAGGCAGAUUUCCUGGUUGUGAUGGUAUUGGACUAAAUGUACCUGGUAGUACCAGGGGAAAGUGGGUGUACAGGGCAGAAUACUGAAAUAUAUGAAAUACCGCAUAAAGUUGUGACUUACUGAAAGUGAAAUGCAUGGUCCGCUGCUUAAAUUGUUAUUUCCCAUAAAAGCUGCACUAUUCUACUGUUUGCUACCAUUUUCUUUUAAAAUGUCUAGAAAACAAACAAACAAAUAAAACAACAACAACACAUUUUUAUAAAAAUAACAAACAGUUAAGCCUGACCCUUCAUCCUUAAGUGCCUACUUGUGUCUUUGAGAUCCAGCACAUAUGGUACAGUAUGUUACAAUCAGCUGCUAACUGGGCUCCCUGCAAAUAAGGCUAUUAAGGUCAACUGAAUCAAAUGAGGACAGCUCAGUCUUUAAAUUCAGGGGAUGCAUCCCUUUCAGUUGAUUACACACAGCUCAUUUUGCUGUUAAUAAGAGUAAAAUGGAUUUACACAGAAAGAAUAGGCUCCUAGCCAGAUUUGUUAUCAUUAAUAACACUUCUAAUAUUAUUACCACUUAUACAUUCAUUUGAAACAGUACAUCAGAAAGUGCAAAGCCCAUUCCCCAAGUACUUAGGAACAAAAGUGUAUCAACUUUGGAUUACAUAACAUGUCUGAGUUAAUCUUUUAGUUCCUGUCUUGGACUUUUUUUUCCAGGAUAUUUAGAUAAAACUUAGGAAGCUAGAAAUUGUAUUUUAGGAUGUAUAAGAAUAUUAGAAAUCUUAGCCCUUGUGAGAACGAACAUAUUUCAAACUUUACAGUUUUAAUCUUGUUGACUGACAUAUAGUAACAGAGUACUACUUUUAGCACAAGUUUAGUGAAUGUGAAACAAAGCUUAAUAGAAUAGACAGCACUGUCUAAUAACAAAAGUCUGUUAACCUACAUGCAAUCUUGACAGUGGCCAUAUAGUCUAUUUGUUUUUCAGGCUGUUGUUUUGUGAGCAUCCUGCCAACAGAGAGCGAACCUCUCAUACAUC